UACGGAGGGUGCAAGCGUUAUCCGGAUUCACUGGGCUUAAAGGGUGCGUAGGCGGGUAAGUAAGUCCGUGGUGAAAUCUCUGAGCUUAACUCAGAAACUGCCGUGGAUACUAUUUGCCUUGAAUAUUGUGGAGGUGAGCGGAAUAUGUCAUGUAGCGGUGAAAUGCUUAGAUAUGACAUAGAACACCAAUUGCGAAGGCAGCUCACUACACAAUCAUUGACGCUGAGGCACGAAAGCGUGGGGAGCAAACAGG
rnacentral:rRNA from 1 species